rnacentral:lncRNA from 1 species
UCACCUGCGUAAAUUAUUAGUAUCUGUAUCAAAUACUGGCUUUUAGUUUUGCUGUAGUAGUUUCGGUUUGUUCACUGGAUGCAUAUAUCAAACCUUUAUUACAACAAAGUAUCAUGAACUUUUAAGUUAGAAAUAUAUGUAUAUAUAUAAUAUAAUAUAUAUAUGUAUAUCUGUAUGUAUAUUAAUUCUUGUCACUGAUACCUUAGGUUUCCCAUAAUUAAAAUUGGUCUACUGAUAUACUUUUACUUGGUUGAAGGCCUGGCUGUAAGCCAUAAGGCAGAAGAAGCUGAAAGAAUAUCAGUAGGCCAACUCUAUCGACAGGAAACCGAAGGUGUCAGUGAUGAGAUUUUUCACACUAAUUUACAUACUCUACCCUAUUGUUGUGUAGUGCUUUAUUAGUUUGUUACCACAAAAAUACAAAAAUAACACAUUAUUUAUAUAUUUAUAUACACAUUAGUUUGUUUUAUUCAUGAUGGCUUUGACCAUGGUAUCAAACAUUUUUAGUAACUAUUUCUCUUCGUGUUAUUUUUCAGUAAAUAGUUAAAAUUUUUUAUUCAGUUUAAUUAAAAUUUGAUUGAAAGUAACAUUUCAUUUUGGUUUGUGAUUUUUUUUUCCUUACAACACUGUUACACAUACCAGUUACUUUCAAGUAUAUUUUGUGGUUUUAUAUAUAAGAGAUAGGGAAUAUAUCCAAAGUACUUAAUGAUAGUUGGAAUCCUGUAAACUUGUGUGAUUUAUACAUAACUAAAUCAUUGUUUAAACUGGAAUUGAUUAAAUAAAUUGUCGUUAUUAUUGAAAAUUCAUAGGUUUUAUUAGAUUACACUUUUAUUAAAUGCUAAAAGUAAAUUUAAAAAAAACAACAAAAAAGAUAGUGAUUUUUAAGAAAGUUUGUGAGUAAAAUUCUUUGUGGAAUGGAAUAUGUAUCCAGCCAACAAAAAUAGUAUAGAAAAAAAAAAAAGAAAAAACAACCCCCCCACAAAAGACAGUCUUCUGUAGGAGAUUCGACACAUGUAUCUUAAUUUUCAUAUUUGCAAAAUUGUUUUGUUGAGAUCCUUGUCUUAGAAUUUAAUGUGGCAGUUCUAAGUUUCAUGUAAAUUAUGUGCACAAAUAUAUAUUAUGUAUGUGUGUGUGUAUACACCUACACACUUAUGUAUGUGUGUGUAUAUAUAUAUAUAUGUGUAUAUAUGUGCAUAUAUAUAUAUAUAUAUAUAUAUAUAUGUACACUUGUCUGUAUAUAAUACACAUUAUAUACAAACAUUAUAUAUAUAUAUAUAUAUACACAUGUAUAUGUGUGUAUAUAUGUAUAUGAUAUAUAAUAUAUAUAUAUAUACACACGUAUAUAUAUAUAUAUAUAUGCACAUGUAUAUGUGUGUGUAUAUAUGUAUAUGAAAUAUAAUAUAUAUAUAUACACACGUAUAUAUGUAUACAUGUAUAUGUGUGUGUAUAUAUGUAUAUGAUAUAUAAUAUACAUAUAUACUCUAAUAUAUAUAUCUACAUACAUAUAUAUUCUAAAUUAUAUAUAUAAGCAUAUAGUGUAUUAUUAUAUAUAUAUAUACACAUACACUCAUUCUUUUGUAAAUGAAGGAAAUUUUUUUUUCAUUAAGAAGUUUUUUUUUUUUUUUAUCAUACAAAACCUGUUGAACAGUCAUUAACAUUAUGUUUUGUGGAAAUAAAUAAUAGAAACUUAGUAUCUAAACC